UCUUGUACCCGGGCCCAUUCGAACCCGGGCCGCCCGCGUGGCAGGGGAGCAUUUUACCACUGAACCACCG